UCCCCCUCUCUGCGCAGCGCCCCUUCAGCGAAGCGGCAGGAGAAAUGGAAGGGGCUCCGUUUCUCCUGCCGCUUCGCUGAAGGGGCGCUGCGCAGAGAGGGGGAGAAUAUUUUUUUCUUGUUCUCCCCCUCUAAAACAAGGUGUGUCCUA